GCAAAAACAUAUCUUCGCCUUUCGCCUAUAUCUGAAUACAACACAAAAACUAUAUCCUUUUCUAAUGAAUCAAUUCUGAUAAAUCGAUUCGUAACGUGUAGUGAGAUACUCUCAGAAGUGUAAAUUCACUUCAGAUGGACUAUCGGAUUUUCGCAUGUUCUUAAAAGAAAUAGAUCAUCGACAUCGUCUCGUUCGUGUUGUUGUUAGCCGAUGAGGAGUGUCGUUGUUGCUCUCCGCCAUUACCGUCGGGUAUCGCUUCUCCGGGAGAUGCUUUCGUUUUUGGUAAUCUCUCCGUCGCUUGGGACUGUUCAUCUGCUGAAACAAAGCGAAGUCGAGCGGAAUCGAAGGGAACAAUUGUUUAUAAGCGAGGUAAGGGUACACAUUCACCAUGAGAGCUGACUCUGUUCGUUGUAGAAACCUUAUGAGCGGUUUCAAAACCGAAUUAGAGAUCGAUUUGUGAAAAUUAGCAGUUGAAGGAGGGAAUGUGUUGUGGAGACUUUGAUCUUCUUGUGCAAUCUGUAUCUCUUGAGUGCUCUGUGAACGUUGACCAUAGCUGGGAAAAAACCGUUGGCGAAAGGCAGGGGAAGGAGCAACAAUUUUAGAAGAAGUGACAUGAAGGAGAAUCAAACUCAUCUGCUCUUCCUUUAAAUGUCACAAAUAAUUUUAUAUAAAUCAAUUUUUGUUUUUAUUUUUAAGACAUCCAUACACAAAGUUCACCAAUGGAAGAUGAAAAGUAAUAAAAACUUAAUGGGAAUAUCUAGAUUAAACAA